rnacentral:rRNA from 1 species
CGAAGAACCUUUACCAGGGUUUGACAUGCAAGUGGUAGGAAUCCGAAAGGUGACCGACCCUUCGGGGAGGCUUGCACAGGUGCUGCAUGGCUGUCGUCAGCUCGUGUCGUGAGAUGUUCGGUUAAGUCCGCUAACGAGCGCAACCCUCGUCGUGUGUUAUACGUGUCACACGAUACUGCCGGUAUCAAGCCGGAGGAAGGUGGGGAGUGAUGUCAAGUCAGCAUGGCCUUUAUAUCCUGGGCUACACACACGCUACAAUGGCAGAUACAAUAGGUUGCGAAACCGCGAGGUGGAGCCAAUCCUCAAAGUCUGUCUCAGUUCAGAUUGUAGGCUGCAACUCGCCUGGCAUGAAGUUGGAGUUGCUAGUAAACGCAGGUCAGCUAUACUGCGUUGAAUACGUUCCCGGGUCUU